GGGCCUGUGGUCUAGCUGGUUAUGACACCGCCUUUUCACGGCGGAGGUCCGGAGUUCGAAUCUCCGCGGGCCCA
rnacentral:tRNA from 1 species